rnacentral:rRNA from 1 species
UACGUAGGGUGCAAGCGUUGUCCGGAAUUAUUGGGCGUAAAGAGCUCGUAGGCGGUCUGUCGCGUCUGCUGUGAAAACCUGGGGCUUAACCCCCGGGCCUGCAGUGGGUACGGGCAGACUAGAGUGCUGUAGGGGAGACUGGAAUUCCUGGUGUAGCGGUGAAAUGCGGCAGAUAUCAGGAGGAACACCGGUGGCGAAGGCGGUUCUCUGGGCAUUACCUGACGCUGAGGAGCGAAAGCGUGGGGGAGCGAACAGG